CUGUCUGCACUGUUAAGUCUCUGAGGGGUAGCCGUGUCAGGCUGUAUCCACAAAAACAAUGAGGAGUCCAGUAGCACCUCAAAGACUAACAGAUUUAUUUGGGCAUAAGCUGUCGUGAGUAAAAAUCCCACUUCUUCAGAUGCAUGGAGUGAAAAUUACAGUUAC